GAUGAACGCUGGCGGCGAGCCUAAUACAUGCAAGUCGAGCGAACAGACGAGGAGCUUGCUCCUCUGACGUUAGCGGCGGACGGGUGAGUAAUACGUGGAUAACCUACCUAUAAGACUGGGAUAACUUCGGGAAACCGGAGCUAAUACCGGAUAACAUGUUCAACCGCAUGUUUCAACAGUGAAAGACGGUCUUGCUGUCACUUAUAGAUGGAUCCGCGGCGCAUUAGCUAGUUGGUAAGGUAACGGCUUACCAAGGCAACGAUGCGUAUCCGACCUGUGAGGGCGAUCAGCCGCACUGGAAGUGAGAACAGGUCCAAACUCCUACUGGAGGCAGCAGUCGGGAAUCUUCCGCAAUGGGCGAAAGCCUGACGGGGCAACGCCGCGUGAGUGAUGAAGGUCUUCGGAUCGUAAAACUCUGUUAUUAGGGAAGAACAAAUGUGUAAGUAACUAUGCACGUCUUGACGGUACCUAAUUAGAAAGCCACGGCUAACUACGUU
rnacentral:rRNA from 1 species